UACGUAGGGGGCGAGCGUUGUCCGGAUUUAUUGGGCGUAAAGAGCGUGUAGGCGGCCAGGUAGGUCUGCUGUGAAAACUCGAGGCUCAACCUCGAGACGUCGGCGGAAACCAUCUGGCUAGAGUCCGGAAGAGGAGAGUGGAAUUCCCGGUGUAGCGGUGAAAUGCGUAGAGAUCGGGAGGAACAUCAGUGGCGAAGGCGGCCUUCUGGACCAGUACUGACGCUGAGGCACGAAAGCGUGGGGAGCAAACAGG
rnacentral:rRNA from 1 species